AGAGGUACCCUUAAUUUCAUUCGCAUUCACACCGAACUUGGCGGUUACGUAAUGCGCAGGGGGUGAUACGAGCGCACAAUGGCGGGAAAAUCUGAAUCACUCUUCCAGAAUAAUAGAGACAGUGCAUGAAUGAGUUCACUAACAUACAGGGUAGAACGCAAGGAAUGUAGAAAAUAACUCUGAGCCCUAACAUGUUUGAAAAGGUCUGGAACGACACUUCGCAAUCAGUGAAGACGGUAAAGUCUGGGCUACUUGAUUGAUUGUGAACAACAUUUGAAAAUGGAAGAAAACCUACAGAUAUUCAAAUAAUAUUGUAAGAAAACCGUUCAAUUUGUAUAUUUAUCGAACGUUUGAACGUCUGUAUUGUAUAUACAAUUUCAGCAUGCAAGACAAAACAACAAGUGGACGAUGUAGUGUCGGCUGCAAAAUGGCAAGAACUGCACAUCUAGACCAUUCAUUAUCUACCAAGUCACUAGUGAAUCCCUCGAGCCCAUGAAACACUGAUGGGAGCAAGACAAAUUCGAUGAUGACGACUUCGACGUCGAGCACCAUGAGAGAUUAUGGACUCAUGGAUGACGGAAUUCUUAUAUCAGAGUCUUGAUGAGACGCGAGCAGAGCUUCGUUGCAUGAAAACUAUUUGUUAUGGUAACAUCGUCAGUAUAUGUGGAUUUAACUCUUCACAAGCUCUGAUCUCUGAUGACCUCGUAUUCAACUUUCCUAUGUUUGCUAACAUUUCAAGCCUUUGAAGAGCCUUACGAGAGGAAGCGCGGAUGGUGUCUCAGAGUAUUCAAAGAAAUAAAAGGCACAGGUAAAAACAAUGAGAAAAACACAACAGAAUAUACAAAAAAAGGUUAGGUGAUGAAACACGGAGAGAUUAAGGAUUCCUUUCCUGUGCAUCAUGACUCGCAUCAGACUGAACGCAUCGGAAACCGUGGCAACUCAAAUUUGAUGGAUUUUUUUGUUACUCAAUUAUGAAAACUAAAGCAAAAUUGUGUCAUUUGAAUCAUUCAUUAAUUCUUCGUGGAAUGUGCAUUAUACUGAAUAAUAGAAAAAAGUGGGAAGUGAAUUUUUUUUUACCCGAAAUCUCAAUGUCUUUGGAAUAUGCAAUGUCCUUUGUAUGUCACUGUCCAGGGGCCCGUUGCAGAAAGGGUUGCGUUUAAACGCAAACCAAAAUAUCAAUCGCAAGUCCCAAAUGCGCGCUGUUGAUUGGUUGAAAAUCAAGUUGCGCACGAUUUUUAGAGAUGCGAUUGAUUGCACUCUUUCUGCAACGGGCACUUUCACAAAAUUUAAAAUAUUCAUUAAACUAUGAAAUCCACAUCGAUUCUCAAAAUUGUUAAUACUCUGAACUCUUUGAAAUGACGGAGUCCAAUGUUGUUCCAACUAUACAUUCAAUCCAUUAUGCAAAAUGUGAAUACAACAUACAUUUGUGGACAUUCAAACUCAAUUAAUUCUCGAAGGAGUUCACGAUUUGAAAAAAAGUUUCUCAGCAUUAAUUUUCAUUUUUUUAUUUGGCUGCAUAUUUUCAGGAAUGCGCAUCCCAUGAAAUAUAAUCAUCAAUGGAAAAUAAUCAAUACGAAUUUUAUUACCCCGAUUCAGAUGCAGAACUUUAAAGGGGUUAUUAUGAUCCUUAUAACGCAAUAAUUUGUAGUUCCGAUUACCUUUCCAUAAUGUAUCGAAUUGUUUAUUUACAAUGACAGUCUUGACGGAGAUUAAAUUCUAAGAUGUAUAUCGGGAUGGGGGGUGAAGUCAAAUGUUUUGCAGUACACAUGCGUGACCAAAUUAUUUCCAAACACUCCCUAAACGAGUUUUUUUUCUCUAUGUGCAAAAUAACCCCAAACAAUUUUUUCACGGGCUUCAUUUACACAAAGAAACGUGCCUGUAACACGUUUGGCUGGUCUUAAAAAAUUGAAAAAAUACCCUAAAUACGUCCCUCGAUUGACCAUUGACCAGUCUUUC